UACGUAGGGUGCUAGCGUUGUUCGGAAUCAUUGGGCGUAAAGCGCGUGUAGGUGGUUUGUUAAGUCGAUUGUGAAAUCCCUGGGCUCAACCGAGGAAGUGCAGUCGAAACUAACUGACUAGAAGAUGGUAGAGGAAGGUGGAAUUCCAAGUGUAGAGGUGAAAUUCGUAGAUAUUUGGAGGAAUACCGGAGGCGAAGGCGGCCUUCUGGGCCAUUCUUGACACUGAGACGCGAAAGCGUGGGUAGCAAACAGG
rnacentral:rRNA from 1 species